AGCAGCCGCGGUAAUUCCAGCUCCAAUAGCGUAUAUUAAAGUUGUUGCAGUUAAAAAGCUCGUAGUUGAAUUUCGGGAUUAGUAAGUUGGUCGUGCCUCCGGUAUGUACUGGCUUUACUGGUUCCUCCUUCUUGAAGAACUGUAAUGUUAUUAAUUUGGUGUUGCAGGGAAACAGGACUGUUACUUUGAAAAAAUUAGAGUGUUUAAAGCAGGCUAACGCUUGAAUACAUUAGCAUGGAAUAAUGAAAUAGGACGUUUGAUCCUAUUUUGUUGGUUUCUAGGAUUGACGUAAUGAUUAAUAGGGAUAGUUGGGGGCAUUAGUAUUCAAUUGUCAGAGGUGAAAUUCUUGGAUUUAUUGAAGACUAACUACUGCGAAAGCAUUUGCCAAGGAUGUUUUCAUUAAUCAAGAACGAAAGUUAGGGGAUCGAAGACGAUCAGAUACCGUCGUAGUCUUAACCAUAAACUAUGCCGACUAGGGAUCGGAUGAUGUUAAUUUUUUAAUGACUCAUUCGGCGCCUUA
rnacentral:rRNA from 1 species